rnacentral:rRNA from 1 species
UACGGAGGGGGCUAGCGUUAUUCGGAAUUACUGGGCGUAAAGCGCACGUAGGCGGCUUUGUAAGUCAGAGGUGAAAGCCUGGAGCUCAACUCCAGAACUGCCUUUGAGACUGCAUCGCUUGAAUCCAGGAGAGGUGAGUGGAAUUCCGAGUGUAGAGGUGAAAUUCGUAGAUAUUCGGAAGAACACCAGUGGCGAAGGCGACUUACUGGACACAUAUUGACGCUGAGGUGCGAAAGCGUGGGGAGCGAACAGG